rnacentral:tRNA from 2 species
GCCGGAGUGGCGGAAUUGGCAGACGCGCUGGACUCAAAAUCCAGUGAAUCGCGAGGUUCGUGUCGGUUCGACCCCGACCUUCGGCACCA